AUGCUCAAGUUCUUGUCCAGGGUGGUGGUGGAGUACAACCCCCUGGACCCGCGCAAGGCGGCGGCCGUGGAGCUCCUCGCGCAGUGCAACGGCCGCAAGGCCAAGGACUCCAACCCCACCUGCUCCGUCGAGUUGCGGCGCCUGCCCUCCUCGGCCGCGGUCUAGGACCCCAAGGCCCAGCCGCUCCCGCGCGUCCUCGUGACCUACCUCAACGACGUCGAUGAGGCCUUCGUCGCUGCUGACGGCGCCACUCCACAGGGCAUGCGCGACCAGAUCCUCGCCCGCGGCCGCCUCCUCGAGACCGAGCAGCUCUUCCGUGAGGCCGGGAAGAAGUGGCAUGUCGUCAUCCCCGAGGAGGAGCUCGGCAUGUCAUUCCCUAGUAUCAAGGUGCCUCUUCUACUCUGUUCUGUUCAACUUCACUUUCUGUCGAACACCUUGCAUGCGAGCCUUGGCGUAUCUCACACCUUGCAUUGA
rnacentral:rRNA from 1 species